GUAAUUUCUUCGGCCGUACAUAUACUAAAAUUGGAACAAUACAGAGAAGAUUAGUAUGGCCCUGCGCAAGGAUAACACGCAAAAUCGUGAAGCGUUCUACAUUUUU
rnacentral:snRNA from 1 species